rnacentral:lncRNA from 1 species
ACUUACAUUGUUUUGGUUAAUAAAAGUAUUUCUUCUCCUCCAUUGGUAGAUGCUGGCACUCCCGUCCUCCAUCUUUCUUCUCCUCCAUCAGUGGAUGUUGGCGUUCCUCUCCAACAUUUUACAGGUGUUAGUAAAACGUGACUUCUAUUUAUACAUUAAAUAUGUGAUCAGUGUCUUUAUAGUCUUUCUUUCCUCUGCUGAUAUCUCCUCCUGGGGCUGAUUGUGGGACACUUUUGGAUGCUGGUGCUCCCCCAUUUUUCUCCUCCUCCUCCUCCAUUGGUAGAUGAUGGUACUCUUCCAUCUUCCUUGUUCUCAAUCAGUGAAUUCUGGUGUUCAAGUCCAACAUUUUACAAGCAUUAUUAGAAAGUCAUUUUUUACAAUAAACGUGUCCAGUGUCUUUCUGUGUAAAUGAGA